rnacentral:misc_RNA from 1 species
GAAAUGCGAUAAGUAAUGUGAAUUGCAGAAUUCAGUGAAUCAUCGAAUCUUUGAACGCACCUUGUGCUCCUUGGUAUUCCUUGGAGCAUGCCUGUUCGAGUAUCAUGAAAUCUUCAAAGUAAAUCUUUUGUUAACUCAAUUGGUUUCUACUUUGGUAUUGGAGGUCUUUGCAGCUUCACACCUGCUCCUCUUUGUUCAUUAGCUGGAUCUCAGUGUUAUGCUUGGUUCCACUCGGCGUGAUAAGUUAUCUAUCGCUGAGGACACUGUAAAAGGUGGCCAAGGUAAAUGCAGAUGAACCGCUUCUAAUAGUCCAUUGACUUGGACAAUACUUUUAUGAUCUGAUCUCAAAUCAGGUAGGACUACCCGCUGAACUUAAGC